rnacentral:lncRNA from 1 species
UGCAAAAGUGAUAGUUAAGGAUGUUUCUGAUUUUACAAAUAUUUUUUGACCUACCACAUUAGGAUGCCUGUCAGUCUGAUCUGCACAUUCAUCCUAAUGGCAAUAUUAAGUGACAUUUUGUGGCGUUAUGUACACACGUUCAACAUAGCUGUGUAUGAUGUGUCUAUUCAAGUGCAAUGGGUGUUGCUACUCCAGUGUACAGGCAGUUGACUAGUUGUAGUCCUGGACAUUUUGAAAGCGGAAAAUCUAGUCAUAAGGCAGUAAAAGCAUAAAUAAAUGUCAUAGCACAGGUAGUCAGGGUCGUGUAGACUUCAGCAGUUUGAUUAAAGCCCUCAAUUGUUUAUUUUUAUUUAUAUAUAUAUAUUUUUUAGCUUUUUUUCUGCGGGGGAAGAGGGAGUUUUGUCAACAGAAUCCUUGUGUGUUUUAGAUCCGUGUAUGUAGUGUUGGGUGUUGUCUUUUUGUCUUGUGUUUUAUGGUUCGUACAUAAGAAAAAAACCAGUGGCAUGUCAAUCACUUCUUAUGGGCAGAAUGUAUACCGUUACUACACCCUCACACCCUCAAUAUUGUUUACAAGACAUCAAGUGUGUUUCGGUUUCGUCUCUCUCACCUUAACGGUUUGAGCCCUGCCUUGAUUUCUUUAUUUCAUCAUUUAUUGAACCACAAAGGCUUGAAAUUUUACUUCUACUGUGUCCAUCUGAGUGUUCAUUUAAUAUUCAUUUUAACUGGACAUACUGCUAUUUUACACAAUAGAAUCACAAUUUCAAGCCUUUUUCUACUUUUCUUUUUCUCCUUUAUUGAACAAGACAGUAGCUGAUUCUUUAGAAUGGGAAAUGACUAAUAAAGCAUGGAGAACUACUCUUUAAAUGGUAACAAAUAACAUAUUUAUUAUCUUUCUGACACCUGUGGUAUGUUUCAGUUAAAGGUCUCCGCUGUGUAAAUUUUCCUCCUGUAAUGCGUUAGAGACAUUGUACAUAGUUGUAAAUAAAUAUCCCAGGACGUUUUGCACCCUCCUCUUUGUACUAGUCUAAACUUGCGUAGAAUGUGGGGUUCUAACAGCAACGAGACAGUGCGUUCGCUGCAGGUGAUGUAACAAUGUAACUUUUUUUAUUUGUACAAUGUAGUUGAAUUGUGUACAUAUUGUUGGAGCAGCUAUGGGGGAAGGGGUUUGUUGAUGCUAUCGUCAGUGCUGUAAAAGAUCCAGUACUUUCACCUCUAGCUGUGUUGAUUUCCUGCAAAAACAAAGGCGAGAAAAUAAAAAAUACUAAACGGAGAAGUAAAAAUUCUAAAUUGUUAUUUUCUACAGUUGCAUGUACAGAGAGCGCGAGAACUGCUGUUGUUCCUCAGAG